CGUCCGUGACCACUGCAGUGUUUGCGUGGAAGGCUGCAGUGCCGAUGCUUGGGAAGCGGGGCGGGAGACUGCGCUUGCGUAGCCGGCGUGCUGAUUUCCUGUUGGGGCUCUCUGUUGCGGGGGAAGGGGAAGGAGGCCCAGGCCUCCCUCCAGCUCUGGACGUCGCCGCUGCGCUCUGGAAGCUUAUCGAAGGGGCAGCUCAAGUGUGACGUUUCGUUUUCAUCCUGGCGCCGUGCCUGGGGCUCAUCACACCCUGCUGCGGAUUUGAACAGCGCUCAUCUAUUCCGGUGCGCAGGACCGCGUGCUUCCCAGCCACCUAGCACCCGGCGACGCGACUACAGCCGAGGACCCAACCAGACCGCCAACGCGGCGUCCGGCGAGGCCCAGGGCCCUCUCGUGCCCUCGGCCUCAGAGGAACACAGCCGGGGGCGGGGCCUCGCGAGCGCCGUACGGCACACGCGCCGAGAGACGCCGCGAAGGCGGGGCUACGUCGGGGCGGGGCCGCGGCGCGCGGGAAGCGCCAGGGGUUGCUGCGGGUCGGGUUCUCGGCCUCCGAGGCGCGUGAUGGCACUGUCGGUGCCCGGCUACUCGCCCAGUUUCAAAAGGCCGCCAGAGACAUUGCGGCUCCGACGGAAAAGGGGCCGGAGCCUUGGGGCCGCCUCUCCGACCGAGGAGCGGCCCGAGCCGGCGACCCGCCGCGCCGCCCUGACGGCCGGGCUGCCCCUCCGCCCUUUCCCGGCAGCGGGCAGAGGCGGCGGCGGCCCGGCCGUGUCCCGAAGGAACCCCUUCGCCCGCCUGGACAACCGGCCGCGGGCCGCCGCCGAGCCUCCCAGCGUGCCGUCCCGCGGCCAGCAGGAGGCGCCGGGCCCGUUUUUAGAUUCUAAUCAAGAAAAUGAUUUGCUCUGGGAAGAGAAGAUUCCUGAAAGAACAGCCGUUACUGAAUUACCCCAGACUCCUCAUGUAUCAUUCUCCGAAUCUGAUAUUCCGUCCUCAGAAAGUACUGAGUUACCUGUGGACUGGAGUAUUAAAACUCGACUCCUUUUCGCCUCUUCUCAACCUUUUACCUGGGCAGAUCAUUUGAAAGCACAGGAAGAGGCUCAAGGUGUCAUCCAGCAUUGUAGGGCAACAGAAGUUACUUUGCCUCAAAGUAUACAGGAUCCCAAACUCUCCACUGAGCUCCGUUGUGCCUUCCAGCAGAGCCUUAUCUAUUGGCUCCACCCUGCCUUGUCUUGGCUACCAUUGUUCCCUCGUAUUGGAGCUGACAGAAAAAUGGCUGGAAAGACAAACCCUUGGUCAAAUGAUGAAACCCUGCAACACAUUUUAAUGAGUGACUGGUGUGUGAGCUUUACUUCUCUGUAUAAUCUGCUGAAGACAAAACUUUGCCCCUAUUUCUACGUUUGUACCUAUCAGUUUACUAUCCUUUUCCGCGCAGCGGGAUUAGCAGGAGAUGAUGUAAUCACGGCUCUCAUGUCUCCUACAACUAGAGGUAUAAGAGAAGCUAUGAAAAACGAAGGUAUUGAAUUUUCUUUGCCUUUAAUAAAAGAAAGUGGCCAUGAGAAGAGGAAAGCGUCUGGAACAAGCUUGGGACAUGGGGAGGAGCAAGCAGUCAGCGAUGAGGAUGAAGAAGAAAGUUUUUCCUGGCUGGAAGAGAUGGGUGUGCAAGAUAAAAUUAAAAAACCAGAUGUACUUUCUAUCAAGCUGCGUAAAGAGAUACAUGAAGUACAAAUGGAUCACAGACCCGAGUCUGUUGUGUUGGUGAAGGGAACGAAUACCUUUACGUUGCUAAAUUUUUUGAUCAACUGUAAGAGUUUAAUCGCUACCUCAGGUCCCCAGGCAGGACUUCCACCAACCCUCUUAUCACCUAUAGCUUUCCGAGGCGCCACAAUGCAAAUGCUUAAGGCGCGAAGUGUAAACGUGAAGACACAAGCUCCUUCUGGAUACAGAGAUCAAUUUAGUUUGGAGAUUACAGGUCCUAUCAUGCCUCAUUCUCUACAUUCAAUGACUAUGCUACUCAGAUCUUCACAGAGUGGGUCAUUUUCUGCAGGACUGUAUACACAUGAGCCAACUGCUGUAUUUAAUAUCUGCCCACCAAAGGAUAAAGUACUGGAUAAGGAGGCUGUUCAUGAGGAGCUUGCCAACUGUGGAUUGCACCCUAAAACUCUGGACCACCUUAGUCAAACACCGAUACUGGGGAAAUCAUCUUUACGGCAUGUGGCAAUGAGUGACUACAUUUAUAAUUGGAGAUCCUGAACACCAAACCCAUUUUUCUCAUCAAAACGGCUCCCAUUCCUCCAGUUACUGGGGCUGCUCUUAAGAACUGAUCCUAUCCAAAGAAAGAAAGCUUUUUAAUUAUCUGCUGGGGAGAAAACAUGCCAAUGAAGUGUGACUAGACAUUAAGUUCAACAUGGUACUCUGAUGGAAGGAGGCAGCUGUGGAGGUUCAUCCGCCCCUCUUUUCCAGGAAACACUCCUAAAAAAAAGGGCAACUGUGCAGAGUAUAAUACAAAUCCCCAAUAACGCAGGUUUCCGAUUUUGUUUCCAUUCUCUAAUAUCUUCAAAUCUUUACACCAGUGUGUAUACAGUUCAACAAAAAGCUAAUUAAUGAGACUACAAAAGUAAACAAUAUUCAUCACGUCAUGUCCAAAUCAUUUCAUUCCAGAAAAUAAAGCUUCUUUC